GAGUGAUGUGUAAUUUGCUUGUACCUGUGUAUAAGGAUGGAUCCCUAAGUGGAUGUCUUUGUCUGACCUAGGGGGCAGUGGUAAAUCCCGCCACUGACUGAGCCUGUCCAUUGUCAGGGAGCACAUACGUACUAGCAGAACUACAGACAUCUGAUCCGGGGAGCUACAGACUGUAUUUUGUUUGGCAAUAAACCUAGGCGGGUGCCUUCAUACCUUAUCAGAGUGCCAUUGGCAGUUCUCUCGGGAUCUGCUGUGUCAACUAUCUGCACAGAGCAGGGGCAGCGCACAGAGGGAACACAUGCACAUAGCUGACUGUUAUCAUCAUUGAACAGAGCAGAGCACUACACCAGUGAUGUCUGACAACAUUGGUAACCCCAACGGCUGAUCUGGUCAUCUCCUUUUUGAACUGCUGUAUGGAUUUGAUCUUCAACGACAGGCAAAUCGACUGAAUCAUCUAUUGACAGUGAAAUUAAGUGAGACCUCUUGAACCUUUUCCUUUCUCUGCGAGGAAACUUCUGAAAUAUUCUCCACGUUGUGAGCCAAUAGAAAUGAAGAGGAAUUCUCAGAGCUGAAUUAACUUUUUCCUUGUACAACAUAUGACCAUAGAAUCAAGAAAUGUAGGGCUGGAAGGAACCUCAGGUCAUCUACUCCAGCCCCCUGUGCUGAGUGCAUGGAACACCAGAGACAUUUUUUGGAGGAAGACUGAGGAGUUGGCAUUGGAGGAGCUGAAUGUACGCCAGCAAAACCAGAUAUUAAAAAAGUCAAAGCUGUACAGACAAGAGAAUGAUGCUCUUGGGUCUGCUGGAAAAGAGUCCGGGGGCAACAUGAAAUGAGACCGUGGCUGAAAAGAGCCAAGUGUGGCUCGGGGGAAGAACAGAUGAAGCAAAUUUAUUUAAAAGAAAAACUCCAUCUAAGUGACAGAGAGAGUCUCCGUCUGGUUUUGACUACGCAGUAUUCUCAGGGUUGCUCUGAUUAUGCAGAAGGACUGAAUUCCUUUCCCAGCUCCUAGCCGAUGAGAUUUCAAUAUAUUUAAGACCAGAAGGGACCGUCAUGAUCAACGACUUUGACCUGCAUAACACUGGUCAGAGACUUUCACCCAAUGAGUCCUGCAUCAAGUCCAAUAAACUGUGGUUGAACAGGAAAAUAUCUUUGAGAAAGACAUCGAUUCUGGAUUUAAAGGCUCUAGUUGAUGCAAGAUUUACCACAAGCCUUUGGACCUUUAGCAUUUUCAGUUUCAGUCUGAACUCAGGGACUCAAUCCUGCUCUGGCCCCUUUGUGCCUGGUAAGAGAGCUGUAGCAGCAUAAAGGGGUUUAAGAUGUCCUGGUUCCUGCCAAAGGAUUCUCUUGGCAUAGGCAAGACAUCCAUAAGACUGUGCUGUGAGGAUCCCCUUGCAAACCCUGGCGUAGGGAUGAGCUGGGGCAGGACGGGCACAGCAGGGCUGUACAGAUUCUGAGCAUUGCUGCUGCUCAGAGGGCAGCCAUGAUGGUUGCUGUAACUUAGGCCUCUAAAGCUGUCUAAAUUAUAUGGAGGGGGAGAGCCUCCCCCUCCUCUGGGGCUGCGAGUUCUGUGCUGAGUCUCCUAGAGGGAAAGCAAACAAUCUCAACCUCGGUGUGCCCUGGGGGGAUCAAAUAUGACCAUAAGGCUUCUGUUUUAAAUUGCCUAUUUUGAUCUGUAUCUAAAAUGCGGUCUGUGUGCUUGACUUCUAAAAUGGAAUGUUAGACUAAGCAAGGGGAUCAGGCAAUUUCAACACCCUCCUGCAAGGGGGAGACAGGAAUCUGGCCACUGAUUAUACCCCGUUGAGAAUUAAUGGGUUUUAUUUCCCAAACAAUGGAGCAGAAGCCAUUGCAGGGGCAUUCUCCUGGAUAGGCCCUGCUGAAUGAUCCCUGAACCAAUGGCUCAUUGAGCUGACAGAGUUAAGGCACAUCAGUUUCACAGCCAAUAGUACACAAGGGAUUGAUGUGGCCAGCAUCUCAUCCAACCGCCUUUGAUCGCCGUAACCUGAUGCAUAAGGUACCCAUUUUGCAGCUGGGUGAACUGGAUGUGGCCUUUCAGCGUGAGACCCCCCCUUACUGGAAGAACCCAGGUUGAAACACCAGAAGAUGCCACAUCUUGACCUGUAAGCAGAGAAACUAUUGACCAAUAUGGUAAGUGGGCUCAUAACCCUACACAGAAAGGGGGAGGAGCUUUCUUGAACCAGUCAGAGAGAGACUGGGAGACCCACAGACACACUGGAGGAUCUCAGCUUUGUUAGAAGAAUGAAAGCUGGAUUGUCUCUGUUCCUGUAACUUACAGGGAAAGCCUAUCUAACAUAGCUUGAAGGGAAGCAUAAGAUUAGAUAAGACUAAAUAUGCAUGCAGGCUGUUUGUUGUUUUAAGAUCCGUUUUUCUUUGACACAUUAUUCCAGCUGCUAAAUAUGAGUACUUUGUAUGAAGAAGGCUGUUGUUCAAUAUCACUGGCCAUGGAUUCCUGAAAGGAAGGUCAAACAGAUAUCCACAAAUCUAUUUGGACCUGCAGAGUGAUAAGUGGUUAGUAUAUAUGGGGUAGUGAACUCAGGACCUGGUCUAUGGGCUUAUCUACAUGGCUAGUAUGUCAGAGCAUACUACAGAAUUUUUAGUGCACAGUUCACAUGGUCAGUUAGCACGCAGCAGGCUAGUGCACUGUAGAUUCACACUCUGGCUUGCUGCACAUUAAUUCACUGCCUACAGAAGCCCUAAGAGUGAGAGAACUGCAUAUUUCCACCCCAAAGCAAGUAAUUGCAAGACUCGAGAUCUGAGCUGAGUGCAUUCAGAAACAUUUCCAUGGUAUGGAAAAAGGAAAAGUGGAGGGGGAGGGGUGCAGGGAAAAAAAACCCUCUCAAUAUUUGGUGCCUUUAAAAAGUUUGAGUUUGAAUUUCAUUCUAACAAUAAAUGAAAUGUAGGAGAUGAGAGAGUUUUUUAUAUUUCCAAGCAGCCUGCAACCCCAGUGGUACCCAGUUUUACAUCUGGGCAUGUAGGCUAUCAUGGAUUUGUAGUAAUAAAUACAGUAUGGGAAACUUAGAAGGAAAAUUGUCUUAUUAAGGCAUUAAGGCUGGUAGAAAUAAUUGGAAGAACAAUAAUUCUAUUUGGGUCCACAUGAAAGAAUGUACUGAUGUCAUGCUUCAGAUCUUGCAUUAGUCAUCAUUAACUUCUUUACUAUUUUUUCCACAAUUGCAUCUGGCAAUUGCAUCUUGCCUGGUUCUCUCCAGUGAAUAUGGAACAGAUGGGAUACUGCAAAUUGCUAAGGCUUUUAUGAAUGAGUAGUUAAUAUAUUGUAGUUAAUCUGUGUCCUGUUGAAUCAUUCAUUUAUUUGAUUAUUUUUUCUCCAUUAGAAGCCAAAAUGAUCCCACCCUCAUGAAAUAUUUUGGUGAACCACACUUGCUUAAAUUCAUAUAGUAUUAAUUACCUUCCAACUCCAACUGUUCUGUAUCCAACCAUUUUCUAAUAAUAACUAUAGGAGUUAAAGUAGAGUUUUCAUGUUUUAGUUCAUAUUUUCUUCUGGGAGGAUAAGGUUAAAGUCCAAAGAAUUGUGCUUGGUCAGCAUUGUAUCACAGUCAGAGUAAAUAUUCAUAUACUUUUUCUUCUAGAUAGUAGCCCUUUGUGCAAAUAAACCAAGCCUCAGUCCCCGCCCCACCACUGCACAUGAGAAAAAGUGCACAGGUGAUGCUUACGCAAACUCCAGAUACCAAGUUUGGCUAGUGCAGAAUGCAAGAUCAGUGAGCUUAAAGGCUUAAAUGUUCAACAUUUUCUAUUCUCUUUACAGUCUUUUGUCUGAAGAACACAAUAUCUCAGUUUUAAAACCCAAUACAUCCUGAGUCCUAAGCACUUUUUUAUAACUUUCAUCUAGACUUGCCUCAUAUUCUAGUUGGCAGAGAUAGCUCUAUUCUUCAUCCACAGGAUAAGACUGAACAAAACUCUGCACUGCUCAUCCAGGCACUUACUUCAAUGGGUUCAAUGCACGGUGGAGCCCACUUUAAAGAGGGAGUGGGGCAAAACGACUGGCCAAUUGAAAAUGGCAUCUUGAGAAUUCAAAGCAAACAGCACAUAAUGCAUUAGCUUAAUAAAUAAAUGUCAGCUAUUGCAAGGCAAUGAGCACCCUUGUCUUCAUCAAGUUUUAGCAUCUGGCCAUAAAUGAGCCUAAAUUUUGACAUUCUCACUGCAAACAUUAGAAUGGGUAUGGGGGUUAUUACAGGUAAGCAGUUCAGAUAAAACAAAGCAUGAAGCUAGAAUUUCAGGUGAACCAAACCUGAGCCAGCCUAAGCUCUCAAAAAGGUUGGUACAUAUUUUAAAAAGUAGUAUUUGGGCACUUCUGCAUUUGCUGAUUUCAUGCAUGACUGAUUGAAGGAUGAAGGAUAAAGUCAUCCUUGUGGGCAGGUGAAAGCCAACAGUACCAGAAGCCUUGACAAUUUCCACUGACAAUAUUUUAAUAAACACAUAGAGCUACAUGCAUUAAUUUUAAGAGCUAUAAAAUGUCAACUAUCUGCUAGCAGUACAGGAUUCUGCUAAUUGAUCUAAUGCCACCAAAAUUGGCAUGUAACACUAUCUCAUAAAUUCCUUGAGAUAAGUUUUCAAAGAAUGGUUUACAUUUUUUUCCUGUGCAUAAUGACAAGCGCAACUAUUGCAUAAAUUAGGUAGGUAAAGCCAUCAGAUAUCAAAACAUCCAGUACCAACACCUGACUGUAUGUGCAAAAUGUGCAUGUGCAAAUUUAGAGGCCAUGUUGAGACUGAUUGCAAAUAUCAUCCUUGGUAUAAAAUAAAUGUGACUUGGCCACUCAGAAAGUACUGUCUCCCAGUCAGACAUUAUAAUUGCCAAACUAGUUACUGACCCCAAAUAAUUGCUGUUUGCUGGGAGACUGAAUAAUUUACAAGGGGAUAGUAAUUUGCAGUACAGAGUUUCAUGGAAAGGAUCUCCUGGGAAAUCUUUUUGAAGAACUAUGGCUAUAUGGAGCAAUCCAAAAGCAAAAUAUUUGCUCUAGACUAUAUCUUUAGUGGAUAAGCUUCUUGGCAGUUUUUUUUUAAACACUAUACAGAGCCUGGGAUAAACACAAGAGGAGCAGAUCUCCACCCCAAAUACCACAGAUUGAACACUAGCUGUUUUCACAUUUAUUUGCAAAUCAUGUCCAGGAAGCUAUUAAUGACCAUUUUAGCUUUCAUUGCUGAAAGCCCUUGGGCUGGAGCAAGCUAACAAAAGUAAUGGUUAA